rnacentral:tRNA from 1 species
UCCCUGGUGGUCCAGUGGCUAAGACUCUGCGCUCCCAAUGCAGGGGGUCUGGGUUCGAUCCCUGGGCAAGGAG